rnacentral:rRNA from 1 species
GAACGCUGGCGGAACGCUUUACACAUGCAAGUCGAACGGUAACGUGGGGAGGAGCUUGCUCCACCCUGACGACGAGUGGCGAACGGGUGAGUAAUACAUCGGAACGUGUCCGCUCGUGGGGGACAACCAGCCGAAAGGUUGGCUAAUACCGCAUGAGUUCUACGGAAGAAAGAGGGGGACCCGCAAGGGCCUCUCGCGAGCGGAGCGGCCGAUGACUGAUUAGCCCGUUGGUGAGGUAACGGCUCACCAAAGCAACGAUCAGUAGCUGGUCUGAGAGGACGACCAGCCACACUGGGACUGAGACACGGCCCAGACUCCUACGGGAGGCAGCAGUGGGGAAUUUUGGACAAUGGGCGCAAGCCUGAUCCAGCUAUUCCGCGUGUGGGAUGAAGGCCCUCGGGUUGUAAACCACUUUUGUAGGGAACGAAAAGACAUCUUCGAAUAAAGGAUGUUGCUGACGGUACUCUAAGAAUAAGCACCGGCUAACUACGUGCCAGCAGCCGCGGUAAUACGUAGGGUGCGAGCGUUAAUCGGAAUUACUGGGCGUAAAGGGUGCGCAGGCGGUUGAGUAAGACAGAUGUGAAAUCCCCGAGCUUAACUCGGGAAUGGCAUAUGUGACUGCUCGACUAGAGUGUGUCAGAGGGAGGUGGAAUUCCACGUGUAGCAGUGAAAUGCGUAGAUAUGUGGAAGAACACCGAUGGCGAAGGCAGCCUCCUGGGACAUAACUGACGCUCAGGCACGGAAACGUGGGGAGCAAACAGGAUUAGAUACCCUGGUAGUCCACGCCUUAAACGAUGUUAACUAGUUGUUGGGAUGUAACAAUCUCAGUAACGCAGCCAACGCGAGAAGUUAACCGCCUGGGAAGUACGGUCGCAAGACUAAAACUCAAAGGAAUUGACGGGGACCCGCACAAGCGGUGGAUGAUGUGGAUUAAUUCGAUGCAACGCGAAAAACCUUACCUACCCUUGACAUGUCAGGAAGCUCUUGUAAUGAGAGCGUGCCCGCAAGGGAGCCUGAACACAGGUGCUGCAUGGCUGUCGUCAGCUCGUGUCGUGAGAUGUUGGGUUAAGUCCCGCAACGAGCGCAACCCUUGUCUUUAGUUGCCAGCAUUCGGUUGGGCACUCUAGAGAGACUGCCAGGGAUAACCUGGAGGAAGGUGGGGAUGACGUCAAAUCAUCAUGCCCCUUAUGCUUAGGGCUACACACGUGCUACAAUGGGUGGUACAGAGGGUUGCCAAACCGUGAGGUGGAGCCAAUCCCUUAAAGCCAUUCUCAGUUCGGAUUGUAGGCUGAAACUCGCCUACAUGAAGCUGGAGUUACUAGUAAUCGCAGAUCAGAAUGCUGCGGUGAAUGCGUUCCCGGGUCUUGUACACACCGCCCGUCACACCACGGGAGUCGGAAACACCCGAAGCCGAUUAUCCAACCGCAAGGAGGAAGUCGUCGAAGGUGGCGUCGAUAACUGGGGUGAA